GCUGUGUGUAGAUCAGGGCAAGUUGUAGAGCAUCGGCUUUGCAUGCAGAACAUCCCAGGUUCAGUUCCUGGCAUCUGCA
rnacentral:tRNA from 1 species